GGGGAAUUUUCCGCAAUGGGCGAAAGCCUGACGGAGCAAUACCGCGUGAGGGAGGAAGGCUUUUGGGUUGUAAACCUCUUUUCUUAAGGAAGAACACAAUGACGGUACUUAAGGAAUAAGCAUCGGCUAACUCCGUGCCAGCAGCCGCGGUAAUACGGAGGAUGCAAGAGUUAUCCGGAAUGAUUGGGCGUAAAGCGUCCGCAGGUGGUUUUGUAAGUCUGCUGUUAAAGCGUGAGGCUCAACCUCAUAAUGGCGGUGGAAACUACAAGACUAGAGUACGUUCGGGGCAGAGGGAAUUCCUGGUGUAGCGGUGAAAUGCGUAGAUAUCAGGAAGAACACCGGUGGCGAAAGCGCUCUGCUAGGCCGUAACUGACACUGAGGGACGAAAGCUAGGGGAGCGAAUGGGAUUAGAUACCCCAGUAGUCCUAGCCGUAAACGAUGGAUACUAGGCGUUGUCUGUAUCGACCCGGACAGUGCCGUAGCUAACGCGUUAAGUAUCCCGCCUGGGGAGUACGCACGCAAGUGUGAAACUCAAAGGAAUUGACGGGGGCCCGCACAAGCGGUGGAGUAUGUGGUUUAAUUCGAUGCAACGCGAAGAACCUUACCAGGGUUUGACAUGUCGCGAAUCUUUUGGAAACGAGAGAGUGCCUUCGGGAGCGCGAACACAGGUGGUGCAUGGCUGUCGUCAGCUCGUGUCGUGAGAUGUUGGGUUAAGUCCCGCAACGAGCGCAACCCUCGUCCUUAGUUGCCAGCAUUAAGUUGGGCACUCUAGGGAGACUGCCGGUGACAAACCGGAGGAAGGUGGGGAUGACGUCAAGUCAUCAUGCCCCUUACACCCUGGGCUACACACGUACUACAAUGCUAUAGACAAAGGGCAGCCAACUCGCGAGAGUGAGCAAAUCUCAGAAACUAUGGCUCAGUUCAGAUCGCAGGCUGCAACUCGCCUGCGUGAAGGAGGAAUCGCUAGUAAUUGCAGGUC
rnacentral:rRNA from 1 species